rnacentral:rRNA from 1 species
CAACUUUUAACAACGGAUCUCUUGGCUCUCGCAUCGAUGAAGAACGCAGCGAAAUGCGAUAAGUAAUGUGAAUUGCAGAAUUCAGUGAAUCAUCGAAUCUUUGAACGCACCUUGCGCUCCUUGGUAUUCCGAGGAGCAUGCCUGUUUGAGUGUCAUAA